GGCCGCGUGGCCUAAUGGAUAAGGCACUAGACUUCGAAUCUAGGGAUUGCAGGUUCGAGUCCUGCCGUGGUCG
rnacentral:tRNA from 1 species